CCUACGGGAGGCAGCAGUGGGGAAUUUUGGACAAUGGGGGCAACCCUGAUCCAGCAAUGCCGCGUGAGUGAAGAAGGCCUUCGGGUUGUAAAGCUCUUUUGUCAGGGAAGAAAAGGCUGUGGCUAAUAUCUACGGCUCAUGACGGUACCUGAAGAAUAAGCACCGGCUAACUACGUGCCAGCAGCCGCGGUAAUACGUAGGGUGCAAGCGUUAAUCGGAAUUACUGGGCGUAAAGCGUGCGCAGGCGGUUUUGUAAGACUGUCGUGAAAUCCCCGGGCUCAACCUGGGAAUGGCGAUGGUGACUGCAAGGCUAGAGUUUGGCAGAGGGGGGUAGAAUUCCACGUGUAGCAGUGAAAUGCGUAGAUAUGUGGAGGAACACCGAUGGCGAAGGCAGCCCCCUGGGUCAAAACUGACGCUCAUGCACGAAAGCGUGGGGAGCAAACAGGAUUAGAUACCCUGGUAGUCCACGCCCUAAACGAUGUCUACUAGUUGUCGGGUCUUAAUUGACUUGGUAACGCAGCUAACGCGUGAAGUAGACCGCCUGGGGAGUACGGUCGCAAAGNUUAAAACUCAAAGGAAUUGACGGCUGAGAGNGCGAGACGACGACGAGGAGGAGG
rnacentral:rRNA from 1 species